UUAAUAUGCGUAAAAUGCUUUAGAAUGGCAGCUGGCACAUAAUACGCAUUUUAUAGGAGUCAGCUUUCAUUAUUACUUCUCAACCCCUUUCUUGGCCCAAGUUUUAUUCUCAUGGACUCUAAGAGGUGAAAAUCCGGAUUCCACAGUUAGAACACGCAAGUUUAGCUGUCCUUGGAGAAAGUAUUCAUAUCUGUUUGUCUAAAUUGUCUUCUGGUCAUUUCUCUUUAAAACCAUGAGAUUGAGUUAGGGGCAAGGGCCAAUGAUAUUAGGUAUCAGAGCCCAGCACUCCUACCCAAAUGAGCAUCCCUGAGUUUCACCUGCCCAGCCUGUUCUCUCUGCUCUGACAGCAGUAUCCAACUUGCUUUUGUGGAACCACCUCUCUCCCACCAUGUGCACUUUUGGUGAGAUUGCCAGUCAAGGUGCCUUACUUUCCCAGGGCAAUGGGCAGGGCGCCUGACACAAGCUCAGUCCAUCAUACUCUAUCCUUUGGGGAGGAACAUGAGGAUAAGAACAGGUUGGACUGAAUUUGCCAGAGGGCAUCAUCCAUUAGCUCCUGCCACAUGGAUUCCCAAGCUUUCACAAGUUCCUUCAUUCUAAAUCCUGCUUGGUCAACCCUUCCUUGGAUUCUGUGAGUCACUCUAUCACCAUGGCAACAAGAUUACGCUUAUGUUGGUAGAGUCAGUGUCUGUCACUUGCUACCAAAGAAUCCUAAUGGCACACUACUGCUAAGUAAUCUUAAAGAUCUGGCCCGCUGCCCACUUCCCACUUAUUUCCAGGGGAACUAUCAGUAGUCCAAUGCCUUUUUAGCAACAUUCUCUCCAUGUACAUCAUCACUAAUCCUAAUAUCAACAAUGCAGACAUAGUAUUGUUAUUUUUACUUCAUUGUUGCAGAUGAGGCACAGAGAAGCUAAGCAACUUUCCUAAGUUCACACAGCCAGUGAAGAACAGAAACAAUAUUCCAACAGGUCUAAUUGCUAACUUCAACCAGAGGCAACUUAGUUCCUUCCCAUGGCAGAAGCCUUGACAAGGCCACGGUGUGUCAUUCUGCUCAGAAGUGUCUGCUUCCCAGAGUGAAUCUACGCUUCAGCUAACCUCAUUUUUAUUUGAGAGCUUUGCUUCCCAGGUCCCAGGAGUCACAUGUUCAGAAUGCAAGUCCUAUUGCAACCAUGAUGAGAAUGAUGGUGAUGAUGAUAAUAAAUCUUUCACACAUAUCAGACUGCACAAGAAGCACUUUUAGAUACAUUAUCAUAUUUCAUUUUCUCAACAACUCUAUGUGAUACAUACUAUUAUUAUCCUCAUUUUACACAGGAGAAAACUGUGACUUAGGCAGGGUAAAUCGGUCCAUGGUCAUAUGGCUGGCAAAGUGCAGAGCUCAGCUACUCCUCUACAGCUCAGACUGGGCAUUGAGCCUGCCUCAGCUCGGCCUCCUGGCUUCCCUGGGCCUCCUUCCAACUCUGCUUUAAUCCUUUCCAAGCCCCUCUCCCCAGGGUCCCUAUUGUGAUCCACAGGUGGGUGGUUACACCUUAUCUGAAGGCCUCCAAGAUGGUGGAAACCCCUAAGCUUCCACCUCCUGCUUCCCACAUCAUCUCUGCGCUCCCUGGGGCUUCCUGGAGCAGUAGGAUGGGAAGCUUUAUCAGCAAUGGAGCCCCCUCUUCAGUCCUCUCAAGACUUCAAUGCAGCAACCUGCCCUCAUCUCCCUGAGUCUCUCCUCAGAUCCAGUUCUGGAGCCAGGAAGUGGUUUCUGCUCCCAAAAAGGCCACCAGCAUCCUGCAUUACAUGGUUAAAUUUUGCCUGACCUUAGUGGGUGUUUUUAAUUGAAUAAAGAAUUCAAGUCUGGGUCUUAAAUGCCAUAGAAAAAUAAAAAGUUACUGUCUUUUCAGAAUGCCCAUUGUAAUUUGUCCUUAGAGUUUCUCCUCCCCUCCCCUCCCCAAUGGUCCUUUUCCCCCUUGAACUGACAAACUGAACUGCCAGAUAAAUACAGCUGCAAAGUGAAUAAUAUGGAUAUGAUUUCUUUCCCUCAUUCAUUUGCCUUCCUAGCUUUACCAAGUCAAAAGAAAAAGACUGCUCACCCUUUCUUUGGCUGUGUCUUCAUACCACAAAGCCAACAGCUAGUCAAGCAAUCUUCAUGAUUUGAAACAUUUGAAAGUGAAAUGUAGGGAGCGAC